GCCUAGUUAGCUUAGUUGGUAGUGCGUCUGCCUUGUAAGCGCUAGGCCGCGGGUUCGAUUCCCGCCCGCGGCG
rfam:Asian citrus Psyllid, Diaphorina citri - Florida Strain, whole genome shotgun sequence.